rnacentral:rRNA from 1 species
ACAGGUAGUCAAGAUGAGAAUUCUAAGGUGAGCGAGCGAACUCUCGUUAAGGAACUCGGCAAAAUGACCCCGUAACUUCGGGAGAAGGGGUGCUCUUUGAGGUUCACGCUUCGAAGAGCCGCAGUGAAUAGGCCCAAGCGACUGUUUAUCAAAAACACAGGUCUCUGCUAAACCGUAAGGUGACGUAUAGGGGCUGACGCCUGCCCGGUGCUGGAAGGUUAAGAGGAGUGGUUAGCGCAAGCGAAGCUACGAAUCGAAGCCCCAGUAAACGGCGGCCGUAACUAUAACGGUCCUAAGGUAGCGAAAUUCCUUGUCGGGUAAGUUCCGACCCGCACGAAAGGCGUAACGAUUUGGGCACUGUCUCAACGAGAGACUCGGUGAAAUCAUAGUACCGGUGAAGAUGCCGGUUACCCGCGACAGGACGGAAAGACCCCGUGGAGCUUUACUGUAGCCUGAUAUUGAAAUUCGGUACAGUUUGUACAGGAUAGGUAGGAGCCUUAGAAGCGUGAGCGCUAGCUUACGUGGAGGCAUUGGUGGGAUACUACCCUAAUUGUAUUGGAUUUCUAACCCGCAGCACUUAUCGUGCUGGGAGACAGUGUCAGGCGGGCAGUUUGACUGGGGCGGUCGCCUCCUAAAGAGUAACGGAGGCGCUCAAAGGUUCCCUCAGAAUGGUUGGAAAUCAUUCAUAGAGUGUAAAGGCAUAAGGGAGCUUGACUGCGAGACCUACAAGUCGAGCAGGGUCGAAAGACGGACUUAGUGAUCCGGUGGUUCCGCAUGGAAGGGCCAUCGCUCAACGGAUAAAAGCUACCCCGGGGAUAACAGGCUUAUCUCCCCCAAGAGUUCACAUCGACGGGGAGGUUUGGCACCUCGAUGUCGGCUCAUCGCAUCC